CGUGCCUAACACAUGCAAGUCGAACGGAGAUUCAGAUGAAGCUUGCGAUUCUGAAUCUUAGUGGCGGACGGGUGAGUAACGCGUGGGUAAUCUGCCCUUAAGUGGGGGAUAACAGUCGGAAACGACUGCUAAUACCGCAUAAGCUGGCGGGAACACAUGUUUCUGUCAGGAAAGGUGGCCUCUUAACAAUGCUACCGCUUAAGGAUGAGCCCGCGUCUGAUUAGCUAGUAGGUGGGGUAAUGGCCUACCUAGGCGACGAUCAGUAGCCGGCCUGAGAGGGUGUACGGCCACACUGGAACUGAGACACGGUCCAGACUCCUACGGGAGGCAGCAGUCGAGAAUAGUCUACAAUGGCCGGAAGGCUGAUAGUGCGACGCCGCGUGAACGAGGGAGCCCUUCGGGGUGUAAAGUUCUUUUCUAUACGAGCAGUGCUAUAUAUAUGGAUAGUAUAUAUAGAGGGAUAGUAGUAUAGGAAUAAGCAACGGCUAACUCCGUG
rnacentral:rRNA from 1 species